GUGGGGAAUAUUGCGCAAUGGGGGAAACCCUGACGCAGCAACGCCGCGUGAGUGAGGAAGUAUCUCGGUAUGUAAAGCUCUAUCAGCGGGGAAGAAAGAGGACGGUACCCGACUAAGAAGCCCCGGCUAACUACGUGCCAGCAGCCGCGGUAAUACGUAGGGGGCGAGCGUUAUCCGGAUUUACUGGGUGUAAAGGGAGCGUAGACGGCGUCGCAAGUCUGAAGUGAAAGCCCGUGGCUCAACCGCGGAACCGCUUUGGAAACUGCGAGGCUGGAGUGCUGGAGAGGUAAGCGGAAUUCCUGGUGUAGCGGUGAAAUGCGUAGAUAUCAGGAGGAACACCGGUGGCGAAGGCGGCUUACUGGACAGUGACUGACGUUGAGGCUCGAAAGCGUGGGGAGCGAACAGGA
rnacentral:rRNA from 1 species